rnacentral:rRNA from 1 species
UACGUAGGGUGCAAGCGUUGUCCGGAAUUAUUGGGCGUAAAGAGCUCGUAGGCGGUUUGUCGCGUCGGGAGUGAAAUCCACUGGCUUAACUGGUGGCUUGCUUUCGAUACGGGCAGACUGGAGGUAUGCAGGGGAGAACGGAAUUCCUGGUGUAGCGGUGAAAUGCGCAGAUAUCAGGAGGAACACCGGUGACGAAGGCGGUUCUCUGGGCCUUACCUGACGCUGAGGAGCGAAAGCGUGGGGAGCAAACAGG